ACCUUCGUGGUGUAGUGGUCUGCAUGUUCGACGCGUAACCGAGAGGUCCGUGGUUCGAUUCCUGGCGAAGGCG
rnacentral:tRNA from 1 species